AUUAAACGCUGGCGGCAUGCCUUACACAUGCAAGUCGAACGGUAGCGCGGGGCAACCUGGCGACGAGUGGCGAACGGGUGAGUAAAGCAUCGGAACGUGCCCUGGAAUGGGGGAUAACGUAGCGAAAGUUACGCUAAUACCGCAUAUUCUGUGAGCAGGAAAGCAGGGGAUCGCAAGACCUUGCGUUCUGGGAGCGGCCGAUGUCGGAUUAGCUAGUUGGUGGGGUAAAAGCCUACCAAGGCGACGAUCCGUAGCGGGUCUGAGAGGAUGAUCCGCCACACUGGGACUGAGACACGGCCCAGACUCCUACGGGAGGCAGCAGUGGGGAAUUUUGGGACAAUGGGCGGAAGCCUGAUCCAGCCAUGCCGCGUGAGUGAAGAAGGCC
rnacentral:rRNA from 1 species